CGCCUUCCCUCGCCAGCCGGGCGGGCAGCGCGGCCCCGGCGCUUCGGGCACAGAGAACAAACGCGCUCCUGCAAAAGAAAGAGUGCGAGUGUGGAGGGAGCGAGAGCCCGGGCUGCGGCAGGGUUUGCCCCGGCCCGGUGACAGCGGGAGGCGGCUGUGCUGAACCAGCGGGGACGCUGCGGGGAGCGGCAGGAGGAGAAUGCUCGGGGUCAGGCGCCUCUCUCGGAUCAGGUCCUGAUGAGAACAGGACACGGGGAGAGGCUGCUAUGGUUUGUGUGUCUGCAAACGGGCAAAGCGUUCGGGACCCGAGGGCUGGAAGUGAGCCCCAGCCUCUGCCCACCCGUGUGUCCACCCCGCGCUGCCUCACAGGUACAUUAAAAACGCAUUUUUGAGCGCUGUCAAAAUUGCACUGCUGGAGGAUUUUUCCAUCUCCGCUCAAGCCUUCUUGUCAGCUUCAGCCUCAGGUUCCUAUUUCUGUUUGUCAUGUUCUGAAUGGAGCGCAGGGCCCAGGGGUGCUGAGCUCUGAGCAGACACAGCUUAGUUAAUCCAAUAGUCCUGUGCUUGUUCUCCUGCUUUUUACAAACAAAUGAACAGUUUAUGUGUGCGGAUCCUUUCAUUCCCCACCAGAACAAUCCUCCGCACAGAACAGGGGAAAACGCCUAGUCAGUCACAGGAAACCAGCACGGUGCUCUGGGGUGGGAAGUGCAAAACACCGCGUCCACCCAACCUGGGUUUCAUAGCACUGCAGGACUGGGAGAGGCAGGGCGCAGGAACUGCCCCAGGUGAGAGCUGGGCUGGCUGCACAGGCUUCCUCAAAGGCAAGGCAGCUUCCCCAGCACUGCUGGCUGCGGGCACUCAGCUGCGGGCCUCAGGCAGGAGAGACACUGGCACAGAGGCAGCAGCAGAGCCCUGCCAGCCUUGGGGACCCCGCGGCACGAGCUCGGGGCUCCGCGCUCGCUCUCCUGCGUGGCUGCUCUGCUGGAUUUUAUUUCCCAGGAGCGCUGCUGCCCACGGCUGUUCCUGCUGAGACACAGGAGCGGUGGGCAGCGUCUGAGUGCCGGGGUGUGAGGAGGCCGGGGAUCCCCCAGGGAGCCCGUGUUUGUCCGUGUGUCUGUCCCAAGAGCCGCCAGAUCCCGGCUCCUGGCCCCAGGAACCACACGGCUCGCCCAAGUGCCUCCCUUUGUUUCAAGCCCUUGGAGCCUGGAGCACUUGUUGAACCUGACGGCGAGUGCAGCAAAGUGGCCGACAAUUAGGAAAUAAACAAAUAUCAUCGGAGGCGUUUUUGGGCGGAAUCCAGUCACACAUAGCUGGGCUCGUUGCUGUUGUUAUCAUAUGGAAUAUUCCUCGUAGCUGUGAUGUUUGUGCUGUGCAGCAGCGUCCCCGGCACGGCAAACAUGGCAUUAUCUCGCUGUGCAAAGGCUUCAUUAAUCACAGCAGACAAUGGGCCCGACACAUCCCUUUGAGCCCGGCGCUGGGAUCCUCCGGGCUUUUCACCUUGUCCAAACGGCUCAUCCCUGUCAGUGCAGGCAGCAGCUCCUCAGAACUGAUCGCUCUGAGCUGUGGCACUGACAGGAGAAUGUCCAAUUCAGUUAACAGAAUUCCCCAGUUAUUUUAUAUUCUCCCUUUAACUUCUCAUGGCUUGUAGAGGCAGAACUUUUUCACUCUUUCUGUCUGUACAUGAGAUCCAUCCAGUCAUUUGUUAAAACUCUACUGAAAGAGCCUGAUAGAUGUGUGUCCUUCAAAGCAGCAGCAGCGCUGAGAUGGAGCAGGAUGGAGUGGCCUGGCUGAGCCGUGGCCCUGCCGACAGGAGCUGCAGGGCGGACAGCAGAGGGAAUGUGUCAUUCUCCUGACAGAGCAUCCUGGCAAAACCACGGCUUGGUGCAGGGGACGGCACACCAAGGGGUGAGGCAGCAGCAGACACCUGAAUGGAGACUCCUCGUGUUUACAGCCUGGUCACAGGAGUGACUGAGACCUGAAAUCUCCCUGACAUCCUCUCUGGCCUCGUUUGUGCCACACCUGCUCCCUUCCACCGGUGUGCACUGCACAGGACACUGGAAAAGCACUUGGAGAUGGUUGGAGGAAGAAGGGGGCUUCCUGGAAAACAGUCCCUAAACCAGGCCCUUCCCUGUGCCCUGGCUUUUCUGGGGCUCGUUAACAUCGGUGGUACGUGCUCAUAUCUCAGUUCUCCAGGAUUAAUUAAAAACCCACAGACAAUGCCAUGCCCAGGGGCUUCGCAAUUAUGUCAGCAGGCUCUGGCUAGGGCCCUUAUGUUUGUAAUAAACAUGACAUGCUUUUAA